GGGUUGCUAACUCAAUGGUAGAGUACUCGGCUUUUAAGUGCGGCUCCGACUAGUUCCGGGUUCGA
rnacentral:tRNA from 1 species